UACGUAGGGUGCAAGCGUUGUCCGGAAUUAUUGGGCGUAAAGAGCUCGUAGGCGGUUUGUCGCGUCGAAUGUGAAAUCCCGGGGCUCAACCCCGGGCCUGCAUUCGAUACGGGCAGACUUGAGUUCGGUAGGGGAGACUGGAAUUCCUGGUGUAGCGGUGAAAUGCGCAGAUAUCAGGAGGAACACCGGUGGCGAAGGCGGGUCUCUGGGCCGAUACUGACGCUGAGGAGCGAAAGCGUGGGGAGCGAACAGG
rnacentral:rRNA from 1 species